CAGGAGGGAGGGAGGAGAGCCAGCAGGCAGGACUGAUGGUGACUGGGAGGGUGCACUCCGAUGAAGGCAGCCUUGGGGACCUAUCUCUGGUACCAGCCCCCAGGGAAGGUCACUUUUCCCUGGGAGUAACUUCCAUUAGGGAAGAGAGCAAAGCAAGUCAUAAAUGGAGCCACAGGUGCACAGAACCCAGGGUCCCUGAGAUAUCAGAGAUAGAGAAUCAAGUGCUGCUGCUGUGAGACAGUAACGCAAUAUAAGACAAUCAUUCAGGAACAUUCUAUUGGAGUGCUCACCCAUCCAAAGUAUUAACAACCUGAUUCAAAAA
rnacentral:lncRNA from 1 species